CAGCCGCCGCGGGAAUACGAAGGUCCCGAGCGUUGUUCGGAAUCACUGGGCGUAAAGCGCACGCAGGCGGUUUGUUAAGUCAGAUGUGAAAUCCCCGAGCUUAACUCGGGAACUGCAUUUGAAACUGGCAAGCUAGAGUCUUGUAGAGGGGGGUAGAAUUCCAGGUGUAGCGGUGAAAUGCGUAGAGAUCGGGAGGAACAUCAGUGGCGAAGGCGGCCAUCUGGGACAACACUGACGCUGAGGCACGAAAGCGUGGGGAGCAAACAGGAUUAGAGACCCCUGUAGUCCCUGUCUCUUAUAA
rnacentral:rRNA from 1 species